GGCCUACCAUGGUGGUAACGGGUGACGUAGAAUUAGGGUUCGAUUCCGGAGAGGGAGCCUGAGAAACGGCUACCACAUCCAAGGAUGGCAGCAGGCGCGCAAAUUACCCAAUCCCGACACGGGGAGGUAGUGACAAUAAAUAACAAUACGGGGUUCUUUCGGAUUUCGUAAUUGGAAUGAGUACAAUUUAAAUCUCUUAACGAGGAACAAUUGGAGGGCAAGUCUGGUGCCAGCAGCCGCGGUAAUUCCAGCUCCAAUAGCGUAUAUUAAAGUUGUUGCAGUUAAAAAGCUCGUAGUUGAAUUUCGGGGUUAGUAGGUUGGUCGUGCCUCAGGUAUGUACUGAUCUCACUGAUUCCUCCUUCCUGAUGAACCGUAAUGCCAUUAAUUUGGUGUCUUGGGGAAUCAGGACUGUUACUUUGAAAAAAUUAGAGUGUUUAAAGCAGGCAUACGCUUGAAUACAUUAGCAUGGAAUAAUGAAAUAGGACGUUUGAUUCUAUUUUGUUGGUUUCUAGGAUCGACGUAAUGAUUAAUAGGGAUAGUUGGGGGCAUUAGUAUUCAAUUGUCAGAGGUGAAAUUCUUGGAUUUAUUGAAGACUAACUACUGCGAAAGCAUUUGCCAAGGAUGUUUUCAUUAAUCAAGAACGAAAGUUAGGGGAUCGAAGACGAUCAGAUACCGUCGUAGUCUUAACCAUAAACUAUGCCGACUAGGGAUCGGAUGAUGUUAUUUUUAAUGACUCAUUCGGCGCCUUACG
rnacentral:rRNA from 1 species